GAUACUAGGUGUAGGGGGUAUCAACUCCCUCUGUGCCGCAGUUAACACAAUAAGUAUCCCGCCUGGGGAGUACGGUCGCAAGAUUAAAACUCAAAGGAAUUGACGGGGGCCCGCACAAGCAGCGGAGCAUGUGGUUUAAUUCGAAGCAACGCGAAGAACCUUACCUGGACUUGACAUCCCUUGCAUAGCCUAGAGAUAGGUGAAGCCCGUCGGGGCAAGGAGACAGGUGGUGCAUGGUUGUCGUCAGCUCGUGUCGUGAGAUGUUAGGUUAAGUCCUGCAACGAGCGCAACCCUUGUUAUUAGUUGCUACCAUUAAGUUGAGCACUCUAAUGAGACUGCCUGGGUAACCAGGAGGAAGGUGGGGAUGACGUCAAAUCAUCAUGCACCUUAUGUCCAGGGCUACACACGUGCUACAAUGGUAGGUACAAUAAGAGGCAAGACCGUGAGGUGGAGCAAAACUUAUAAAGCCUAUCUCAGUUCGGAUUGUAGGCUGCAACUCGCCUACAUGAAGCUGGAGUUGCUAGUAAUCGCGAAUCAGAAUGUCGCGGUGAAUACGUUCCCGGGCCUUGUACACACCGCCCGUCACACCAUGAGAGCUGGUAACACCCGAAGUCCGUGAGGCAACCGUAAGGAGCCAGCGGCCGAAGGUGGGAUUAGUGA
rnacentral:ncRNA from 1 species